GUUCAGGGACAACCCUGUGAUCAUGGUUUUGGUCACAUAGCUUCCAAGUGAGUGUUGUGCAAACAUUUGCUAGGAUCUCUCGGGGAGCCUGUUAGAAAAGAAACUCCUGAGCCUGCUCCAGAGCUUCUGUUCAGCAGGCCUGAGGUGGGACCAUACACCUGUCUUUUCAGCAAGCCCCCCCCCACCUCUGAGGAUGCACCCCAAAGCUAGAGAAUUCCUGCUCUGAGCCAUCUCUGAAAGCACCAAGAGCCAGCUCACGGAGGAGAUGCCAGCUCACGGAGGAAAAUCUGGAAGGUGUUGAAGCAUAGACGCUGGAACAUAAAAUGACUCAUGAUCUCACUGGGAGAAGGGCUGGGAACAUCGUGGGCUCUCUUCUCCCCGCGCUCCUCUCUCCGGGUCUCUGUUUCCCUCAUUCCACGAUGUUUAGAACCAUCGGCGCACUACAUCAGACUAGAGGUCUGGGGUCACCCGACCAUCCCGCCACAAGCCCCUCCGAGGCAUCACUGUGUCCAGAUUUUGCAAACUGCACCUCCUGAAGGGGCUGGGGUCUGUCCACUUCGCCCCAUCUGCCGUGGCAGCACUUCCUCCGUGGUUCGCACCCCCACAGCAGCCUCCUGGGAAGGCACCUCCCUGGGGCCCCUCUCAGUCCACGGUGUGGAUAUGGUCAGGAAGAUUCCUGCAGCUGCUGAGUUAGUACUUUUAAGAAAGUACUGGAUUCCCUCUCACAAUGGGACUUUGAUUUUUUUAAGAAAAAGGUUUCAUAAGUUUUCAAAUAACCUGGAGCAGUUGAGCAAACUUAAUGUGCAGCGUGGUCCCUGCUGGCUGGGUUUGAGGGGCUGGGUCUCUCUGAGUGGAUGCUGGUGAGGUGCAGAGGAAGAAGAAAAGGUGCCUGAGGGCCUGUGUGGAAGGCCUGUCACACAGCACAUCCUGGGAAAUCUGUCCAGGAAGCAGCCAGGCGGGCAUCAGCCAGGCGGGCAUCAGCAUCUUCACUGUGCAGAUGAGAAACUGAGGCCGCAGAGGUGAAGGGACAUGCCCAGGAUCACUAAGGUGAUCCCUAGAAACACAGCCAGUGGCCCGGAAGCUGCACUGUUUUGUGCACCGCAGGGAUGGGCACAGAUGGGGCUGCCUGCCCUCCUCCUGGAAGGAGGGAGAACCCAGUCUGGCCUGGAGUGGUCAAGAGCUAACUCUAGACUCAGCAAGACCUACUUCUCUCUCCUGCCCCUACUUCCUUGCUGCUGACCUGGGCAAGUCGCUGAAGCCUCUCCGUGCCUCAGUCUGCUCGUGCGUAAGAUGGGCACAGGGCACACUGCCUACUUGAUUGGGCUCAACCACGUGCAGUAAGUAGCUGGUGUCUGGCAAGAGCCCUCAGGAAACAGUAACCCCAUUAAUUCAAAUGCACGUGCCUGGAACAGGCUCUGGGGGGCCAGCCCGGGAGUCCCACUCCAUGAUGGCCACCCUGGGGCCUGGCAGGCUGGGCUGGCAUCCCAGGCCCACCGGAUACUGGCUGUGCACCCCGGCCAGGCCACACAUCUCUGAGCCUCACUUUCCCGUGUGUGAGAUGAGGCUAGAAGCUGCUUUCUCUUGCGUGUGUGGGGAUUGGCGGUGACAACACGGCCAGGAGCCCAGGCCCAGCCUACGCGAGCAGCCUCGCUCCAGGCCACACGCCCCACUCCUGACAGCUCUGUGCAGCGAGUUCGUGCGCGAGCGGGUGGCUGUCUGCCAGGCGAGGGGCGCGGGUGCCCAAGAGGGCUUCACUGCUUCUGGAAAGAUCACAAGGAAAAACCACCUCCGCGGCGGGACGCUACCCGCGGGCCGCUGCGGUCCCGCUCGCGGCCGGCAGGGGGCAGGAUGUCCCCGCGAGUCGCCCGUGUCUUCGGGUGUCCUCAGGUCACCCCGCACCGCUCGCAGCCUCCGCGCCUAGUUAAAGGGCGACGCACUCAUUUCUGCAAAGAAGGAGCCCAGCGGCCCCUCCCCGGGGAACUCUUUCCAUCAACUCGGGGCCUAAUAAUUUACAUUUAAUUUGUUAGCGGUUUAAUGUUUAAUUUUAAAAGCGAGAUGAUUCAUUACCAUAUUAAUAAAUAAUAACAUUUAUUAUUCUCCUAA